UUCUUUUCAUUCAAGAACACUACAGAACAUCAUCGCCGCUUUCUCUCCUAUUCUCCCUGUAAACCCUAACCAAAAACUUCAUCGCCGCUUUCAUAUGCCGACCAUGAUUCAUCGCCGCUGAUGCUUUCUGAUUAUCCUCUGCUUUGAUUUCAAUCUUCCGUUUAAGGUGAUUGUCAAUUUCAAUUCAACAACCGAUUAAAGGCUUCCAAUGGAGUCUGCAAAUAUCAGAGAUGUAUUGACGAGAUGUAUUGACUUCCUAAAGUGAGGUCGCUUGAUGGAGAAUGGAAGGUCACGCUUGGAGAGUCAAUAAUAAAAACCAAAGAAAGCUCAUUUAUAGAGCUAAAAGGUUUUAAAGCUGAUCAUUUAACAACGCAAACUGUUUAUGUUAUUAUCUUGAAGCAACCAAAUCUGUUGUGUAAAGGAUUAUGGAUAGGGGUGUAAACGAGUCGGCCAGAGCCUGACUUAAUUGAACUUUAUAUUGAGUCUAAAAUGUGGGGUGAUAGCCAUCGGUAACUAGGAUCUGGUGAGUAUAUUCAGGUGAGUGGGAGAGCUGGACGCCGUGACAAAGAUGAACGUGAUAUUAGUAUUAUAAUGAUUGAUGAACAAGUAUAAUUAAAUUGCUACCUUCUUAAUUUUUACAUAAAUAAAUAAAUUAAUAGUAUGUAUUUUUUUUCAUUUCAAAUGGAGAUGAUUACUCUAUAAAGGACAUGGUGCUAGGGAAACGAGCUCCACUGGUCAGUCCUUUUAGCCUAAGCCCUGAGCCAAGUUAUCUACCUUGGGUUGUUAUAGAGUCGAAACAAACCCAAUAGAUGAGGCUGAUUGAAUAAGUGGAUAUUGAGGUUAUGUGGUCCUGCUUGGAUAACAGGAUUCUAUUUGUGAGGGCGCACGUUGAGUUUUGGACUUUGAAGAAUUGAAUCUAUCUUUGAGCAUGAUGUUUUAGAUAGGUAACUCUUUCUAAUGCAGGUACUACUCAAUGUAUAAACAUAUAGAGAGAAGUUAGAUGAAGAAAUAAAAAAAGAGCUGCAUCUUGCAUCUGCUGAAGGGGUUGAAGCCAAAUUAUUGUUGAUUCCAGAAGCACUGAAUGAAGAGGUGCUUGAGAAAAUGACUGCGCCAACAAAGAGCGACGUACCAAUAAUUAUAAGAAAUGAACUCUUUGAAGGGAAAUGUUUUCGGGUUUCCAACAAGAUUCAGUAUGAUGUCAUGUUGGUUCAGCCUGGGAAACAUUGCACCAAAGCCCUAGGUGCAGUGGUGCUCACAAGUGGAAGAUAAACCGAAUCAAUUUUCUAUGAAUUAUCAAAGCUUGAAUCUAAGAAUUCUUCAUGGGAACUUGAAUGAAAGAGACUAAAUCUUAAAUUCUAGAGACAAGUUAGAUUCAGAGGUUUUGGGAGCGAAAAAAUAGAGGAUGAAAAUAAAAUUCUUUUGGAGGUUGAAGUGGAUUAUGUGGAAGCUAAUAUAUAUUUGGAAAAUCAAAAGAUUGCUAAAGAUAAUGUUAUUACUAUUUUUUUAAAGAUAAAGCAGUUUCAAAUUGUCAAAAGCAAAUGCUUCUUUGCUUGACAAAUUGAACCAGACACUUGCAUCUGUGCGGGGUGAGUGUAUAGACGUGUGACAUAGAAUCCUUAAAAUUGUUACAAAUUACAAGUCAAAUAUGAUAGAAAUGGUGAUACACAGUCAACAUUUUGUUUGUAUUUUAUCAUAUUUAUACACUUAUGAUUAUUAACAA